rnacentral:rRNA from 1 species
AGUUUGAUUAUGGCUCAGGAUGAACGCUGGCGGCGUGCUUAAUACAUGCAAGUCGAACGAAGCACUUUUGGACAGAUCCCCUCGGGGUGAAGAUGAUUGUGACUUAGUGGCGGACGGGUGAGUAACGCGUGGGGAACCUGCCUCGUGCUGGGGGAUAACAGUUAGAAAUGACUGCUAAUACCGCAUAAGCGCACAGUAAGGCAUCUUACAGUGUGAAAAGAUUUAUCGGCAUGAGAUGGACCCGCGUCUGAUUAGGUAGUUGGCGGGGUAACGGCCCACCAAGCCCGCGAUCAGUAGCCGACUUGAGAGAGUGAUCGGCCACAUUGGGACUGAGACACGGCCCAGACUCCUACGGGAGGCAGCAGGUAGGGAAUAUUGCACAAGUGGGGGGAAAAACCCCCUGAUGCAGCGACGCCGCGUGAGUGACGAAGUAUUUCGGUAACGUAAAACUCUAUCAGUAGGGAAGAUAAUGACGGUACCUGACUAAGAACGCCCCGGCUAACUACGUGCCAGCCGCCGC